UACAGAGGUCUCAAGCGUUGUUCGGAUUCAUUGGGCGUAAAGGGUGCGCAGGUGGGCGCGGCAAGUCGGAUGUGAAAUCCCGGGGCUCAACCUUGGAACUGCAUUCGAUACUGCCGUGCUAGAGUGCUGGAGAGGAGAUUGGAAUUUACGGUGUAGCAGUGAAAUGCGUAGAUAUCGUAAGGAAGACCAGUGGCGAAGGCGGGUCGUCGUGGACAGUUCCUGACACUGAGACACGAAGGCCAGGGGAGCAAACGGG
rnacentral:rRNA from 1 species